CAUGACUGUGUAGGGGAGAUAAAAACAACUUUUUCUUUACCCUCUUAGGUUCAGUGCCUGGGGCCUGCGAAUCAAGCUGAUAAAAGAGAGAUUAAGAGGAGGAGGGGUUUAUUUUGCAUACAUACAGGAACUUCACAGGAAAGAAGUGAAAACCCAAAGAAAGGGUUAGACCCGGGAGCUUAUAUACCAUUUUAACAAAGCUGUUCCUGCUGUGUGCCUGCUCCCGGGCCACCUGCUAGCCCCAGGGUCAUCACCUCUGGACUCCAAGGGACCCCAGGAGCGUCGGGAUUCGGAGAAGCGAGCUCUACCUGGACACACAUCCACCCCAGUCCUGCCCAUAAGUGUCUCUGCCCAGCUCGUGAGCUUCCUGAGGGCGGAGACCUCGUCCUCUCUGGGUGCCAGGGCUCCAUACGGUCCUGGCCCCAGGGUGCCUGUUAAACUGACAUGAAAUGAAUGUCCCUGAGCUCGUACCCAUAGGACAGGACUCUAAAUAUCAUCGGAUCACAUCAUGAGAAAGCGAUGGCCUUUUCUACUCCGUGCCAGUCUUUCUCAUGACAUCAAGGAGAACAUCUUGGGCUGGCGCCAGGAUGUCUUGACGCCUCCCCGCCCUCGCCCAUCCGCACCCAGAGCCAAGAACAGGCGGUCUAGGGCCCAGACCUAGCAGACCAGUGUACCAGCAAGAGUAAGAGCAUUGCUUCAUUUUAGAAUCACCUUCAAUUCUGAGCAAGCGGUGCUGGUUUCCCGCUUCUAACAGCAAUGUAAAGUUUCUUUUAAAUGUGUUUCAAAUUUUAAAACAAUUUCAGACUUAGAGAAAAGUUGCAAAAGUCAUACAAAGAAUUCCUGGAUAUCCUUUAUCCAGAUUCCCCAGUAUUAACAUUUUACUACUUUCUCUCUCUCUCUCUUUUUCUCCCCACUACCUACCUACACACACACACACACGCACACGCACACGCACACAUGCACAGAGAUUAUUUUUUUCUGAACCAUCUAAAAACAGGUUUUCUUGGGGCCAGCCCGGUGAUGGAGUGGUCAGGUUGCCCACUCUACUUUGGUGGCCUGGGGUUUGCAGGUUCG
rnacentral:lncRNA from 1 species